GUACCAGGUUUUAAAGCAUCAUUUUUUCACUGCUGGAGUUUUCAGGGCUCGGAACGCUGAAUCUUGUAAAGGCUUUUACAUUUAAAAUAAGACACUUUGAGUCUUGGUUAUUUCAGUAGUCUGCCAGUAAAAUCAUUACAACAGCUGACAUAAAUUUCUAUGCCAGCCCUUAAUACAAGUUGGAGGCGAUAGCUAAAAUAAUUUUUUAUUUCAUAGAGCUCAGAACAUUGAAGUAAUAGAUCCCCUAGAUCUACUACUAGAUCUCGAGAAGGUUAUUAAGAUGAAAAAUUCAGCACGUGGAAUGAUUGAAAUCAGAUGAUAUUCUUAAGGUGGUAAAGCUUAUUUUUAGUUGCAAUGAACCGUAGCUAGGCUCUGUGGUUUACUUUAAUUCUUGAAGGCUACAAAAUGGUUAUUUUAUUCAGAGACUUUGAUUUCUUUUUCGUAAUUUUCUGUACUAUAAUACUGAUGUUUUUCUCUUAUGCCUUUGUUCUUUAGUCUAUAGAAGACUUGAUGGCACAGUUGAAUGUUGUAGUAACAGUAGCCUCACAGACAUUUGCUUUUCGUACAGCAAUAACUUGGACAGCCUUCGGUACGUCUGUCUGCCAGCACGAAAAGUUAUCGAGGCCAGCAAAGUUUGUCGAACAAAUGCAGACUGCCAGAAGGAUGUUGUUUCAAGCUUUUGUGUGACUCCUUCUUUAGAGAAUCAAACAAGACUAUUCAGGGUAAAACAUCCACCCCAUAUGGACAUGCUGUUUGUAGGACACCCCAUGCACCUUCAAUACACAGUAAGUCUCAGCAGUUUUGUACCACGACAUAACUUUCUAAGCAUCGAUCUGCCAGUGGUGAUAGAGAGAUUUUGCAAAUACCUAAUUUCACUGUCAGGAGCACUGGCAGUUAUCAAUGCUGUACCCUGCUUCGCUUUGGAUGGUCAGUGGAUAUUAAAUUCUUUCCUGGAAGCCACUCUGAGCUCCUUGAUUGUGGAAAAACAAAACAGAGAGCUUGUUGGCUUCUUAAUUUUGCUUGCUGGGAGUACACUUUUGGCUGCCAAUGUUGCACUGGGACUUUGGAUGGUUACAGCACGAUAGGACACUGGAUAUUCAUCAAUUCUUGUAUUACAUGGACGUAAUGAAUCAAUGCCUUUUAAAACUUGUUUGGUACUCAGAUUGAAAUAAUUCCUUUAAAAUGACACUGAAAGAACAAUCACUAGAGGCUCCUGAUGUAACUUAAAUCUGUGCAGUGUUGUGUCUGUGGUCUUGGGAAGAAUAAGAGAAAGAAGCAAGAAUCUUUUAAUGUACUACUUAAACACUGUAUUAAUUUUAGAGAAGUUCCAUUGUAAAGCUUCACUGGAAAAAACCUGAUUUAUUAACUUAAAUCUCAGAAUAAGGGAAUUAUUCGGCCUCAGACAUUUGUAAAGUGGAAAGAGAAAACACUUAAAUCUUAUUUUAUAAUUUGAAUAAUGUCCAAAAAAAGUGUGUGCUCUGAUCAUUUCUCAGUCAGUGUUAUCUUGAGUGCCUGCUUUGCUUUAUUAAAAAGCAAAGUUCUACCAAAUGGGACUCUUAGACACCCUGAAGACUUCAUCUCAAACUGGUGUAAAACUAAGUAAAUGGUUGCCAUGUGUUAAUGAGAGAGAGGCCAUUUGGGUUAGUAUCUUUCCUUUACAGCUGGCCAAAAUGACUGGAAGCAUAUCGUCCUCAGGAUGUAGAUGGGAAGUGCCAGUGUCUGUUGAGAAUGAGGUAUGUGGGAGGAAAACAAAGCCCACAUGUCUGUAUCACUUAUGCAUUUGGUUGCAUAUUACUCUGCACAGCUGAAGAUUUUGUAAAGGCAAUAUUUGUCAACAAUAGCUAGACAAUAACUGAAAUUUAGUUUUUCAGUGCUAUAGAAUGCUGUGCAAAAUUAUUGCUGAGUGAUAAUAUUUGUGUCCUUUUACUCAGAAAAUAAUACUGCAUACAGUUAAAAGUGAAAUCUGUUGUUUUUAUAGUGUCCAUCUUCUGAUGCUGUGCAUGCUGUACGCCUGGUAACUCACUGACAUUUCUCUGUCUUUCAACGGGUUGCUUUCCUGUGCUGUAAUUGAAGUGUUGUUGAAGUUGCUUUGGGAUCAGGAUUGUUUAGAGGAAGAACAUGAUUCUGAAUCUAAGUAUUCUAACACUUGGUUUUGCUUUCUGAAGUUAAUAUGGACCAUAUAUUUGUUUUUAAAUGAGCAAUGGAAGAGCAAACUGUUUUGCUGACUCAAGUAUGUCUGACGUAUUCUGAAGCCCUUUAAGUCUGCAAUGUUUGGUACCUCAGUAGGAUUGUACACUGACCAUUGUGUCCUCCUAUUUUGUAUAAAUCAGAUCUGUUAGAUGCUUGUCUCAAUACAGGCUGAUAUUUCAAAUAAUGUUGCUCUGGUUUGGAAGCCUACAUAUUUGAAAUAUGGAAGUUUUGGAAAAUUAUCUGCAGCUUCUAUCUCAUCUAGUGCUCCCAACAGGAGCUUCUGCAGCUCAGAGUUCCUUUAACGAGGAACUUUCCAUUCAUGAACUUAAGUAGAUAACGUAAUGGACAGUGGCCUGCAGGGAGUUGUGAAGCAUUCAUCAUCAGCUAACACACAUCUUGGUGCUAGAGCUGUAAGGGUAAUUUUAACAGCAGAGUUGAGCCCUAUUCCUGGUGCUGCUGCAUGGAUACAUAAUUCUGAUAUUAACAUUUGCUUACUGAUGUGUUACAGUAUUUUUGCAAAGUAGCCUUUGCGUAAGCUGGGCCUCCUGAGUUUGCCUCUGUGUGAUGGCAGGCCCGUGCCUCUGAUUUUCAGUUGUUUCAGCCUAGGCAUCUGAAUAAAUCCUUCAGCCAAUUCAGUGUGAGUUGGUCCUCCUGGGGACUUCAGAAGUCAUCAAGUGCAGGAAAGGAAAACAGAACUAUUACAAACUGCCAACUGACUUCUUCAGGAGCCACCAGGAAAAGCCGAGUUCAUUGUCACUUUCAGUAAGUUGAAGAAGAUUCAAAGUAGCAGUUUCUGAUGUGCCUUUCUUCUGUCUCUCCACAAGCAGCAGUGACAUGAGGAGCCUGGUUCUUACAAAGGCUGGAGCUGAAGUGAUGCUCUAGAAGGCUGUUCAUUCACCUAGGUAGCUGCUUAUUAAUCUGAACUCUUAUUUUCAAGCACCAUGCCAGUUUCCAAGCACAAUGUCAGUUUCCACUGUCUCUGUUUCUUGUCCAGUCAAUAGUGCACAAAAUGAAUUUACACUCUAGUGCAAUUUAAUAAGACAGAUAUUAGCUUUUCAAAAAAGAUACUGUUUAUGUAUCAGAGUUGUAGUGCUAGCUUAAUUUCUAGAGGAAUAACAAAUGCACCUGUAGUGAUUUCAAAAAUAUCCAGUGAAAAACAUUUCAAGUUUGAUAAUUGAUAUAUUCAUGCUGACUCCAGCUGCUUGGGAUGAUCCAUUUUGCAUAGUAACUCCUCCUGGAGAUCAAAGAGAAGUUGUUUUUAAAUAAUACAUACAUUGCAUCUACUAUAUGGAUGCUAGCAGAUUGUUCCUGGUUACCUAAUGUGCUACAAAACAUGAUUUAACAAACCAAAAAUCCUGUUGAUUUCACUUUAUGUGAUCUCUGAAAAUCAAACUCAACCUGUGUUUUGCCUCAUAAUCAAAAUGAGGGUAGAUAAGACUUGUUGAUCGUGGCUUUACCAAAAGAGACAAGCUAGUACACUGUUAAGGCCAUGGAUAAUUUCAGUGGUAGAGGUAAGUGAUGUAAGGGUUUUAAAAUAAUUAAUGGGUCCAUUUCUCUGUUCUACUGCAUAGGGUUUGAUUUAGGUAGGUGUAGGUACUUUGAAUCAAGGGUUUAAGCAAACUGAGAUCACUUUGGUGACCCAGCACGUACCUUAGAUUAAGUGUGGAAAAAGGUAAUAGCUAAGGUGAACCAUAAGAAAAAGUUGUUUAGUGGAUCCAUUUUAUUAUCCUGUAAUCCUAGUGUAUGGAUCGCAUUCUGUAAAGCAAGUGCCAUUUUUUACUUACAUACCGUUAUUGGGAUGGUGGUUUUGUUUUAUUUUGUUGUUACUCUUUUUUUGUUGUUGUUUAGCAAGGGAGAACACAGAAGGGCACAUCAUGUUUUGCGUGAUGCCUUUUUAUUCAGGGUUAUUUGCAAUGUUUCUUCUAUUUAUAUUUUUGUGAAGACUAAAAGGCAAUCUUUCUUUAAAAUGAAAUCUUUUUCACUUUUCAUAUUUAGCCUCCCAGAAUAGAGCUUAUUCUGUAACAAAGAAUAUAUCAAUAUCGUUAUAGGGGUUAUUUUCUCAAGUGUAAAACAGAACAUUGUUAAUGAUUGGAUGAAUACUACUAUUUAUAUAUAUAUACAAUUUUUUAAAAAUCUGUAUCAGAUGGAAAAAGUAAUGUCAACAUUUGGGAAGUGUUGUACAUAGUUUUUACUUGAAAAUUGUCAGAAUUCUAUAAUAGUAAUCAGUUAUUGUUCUGAUUUGUUUUUGUUUUAAGGAGACUUUUUUUUUUUAAUAUCAGCAAAACUUUCAUAGCAUGGUCUCAUAAUGCAUGGUGUGACAAUAAUAAUGGGUAACUUCUUAGAACAUAGGAUGUUACAUGCUCACUGCUAGCUUUGAAAUUAAAACCAGCUUGCUUCCUUGUAAGUUAAAUAAAAAAAGUUUGCUAGGUAAAUUGCAGACAAACCUGCAGAUUAUUCAGUCCAAAGUUAUGAGCUGGAGUGGAAAAUGUGUUAACUCACUCUUUUAUUACAAUGAAACAAACAACCGUAUUGACAAUUGGAUUUUUUAGUGGUCGUUCUGAUUUUUUGUCUAUGUAUGUAUAUACAGAAAUACAGAUAGUAGAUAAAUAUAGAACCACAGUAUGUAUUGCUGCUUUUUUAGAGAUAACAGAGCUAUCCUCCAUAUUCUGCAAUGCAAGUAUUUUUCUUUCUCUUUAUGAAUUCCCUGACUUUUUCUGGACUUUAAAACUGGAGCUGUGCUCUCUUCCCAUAACUGAUCUGUAGGGAUUUCUUACUGAAAGACAUGUGAUGGACAUAGUGUAACCACAGCUGCUUAAGUUUGAUUCAGCUGAUGUUCAAAAUGCAUUUCGUGCUUUAUGAGAAGCCUCAGCUAUAGGCACAGUAAACAAAGAUUUCCAGGCUGGUUAAAAGAGGUCAACUUUAGAAUCUAUCACUCUCUCACUGCUGCUGUUUGUGCUAUUCAGAGUGAUAACUGGUAUGAAUGAGUCUGUGCACAAUAUACAGAAGAAAUUUUAGAAGGGCAGACCUUCCCAUGGCAUCAGACUGUCCCAGGUUUAUUGAUUACCUUGCUAAAGGAUGUAUUUUUGUUCAGUUCAGAGUAUCACCAAUCCAAGUUUGCCGUUUCCUGCAUGUUUUACAGAAUGAUGCCAUAUAGCAAGUAGUUGUUUCUAGGUGGUGUUUUGUUCUUCUGUUGUUUUUUUUUCUUUUUUUUUUAAUGAUUUGUCUUUUAUCUGAAAGAUAUGAAUUUGUAUCUGGAUAUCAUUUGUGACAGAUGAAGAAGAGCUAUAAAGGUUUAUGUAGCCUAAGCUCCAUUUGUUUUAAAAAGUUGUGAUUCUAACUCUAGAAAUGCAUUUUUAUUUGGAAAAUAAGCAUUCCAUACACUUGCAUUCACAUUAAUUCCCACAGGUAGUCCUGUCUCACUUUGUGAGUAAGGAAGCUAACUCAGGUAAGAUUUGUUAUUUUAUUCCCUUUUAUCCUGAAAUGUAUGUAACACUACAUCCAGAUUUGUUACCUAUUGUGGCUCAGUUACCUGUGGUAUAUAUGCUGUAUUAGUGAAGCAACUGGAAAGCGUUGUUGUAGAGUCUGCCACCAAUAGUGGACCCAGUGUGAAAGGAUAGGAACAGAAAGCAAGAUAAAACACUGCAAUUCUGUUCGUUGCAUUUGCAUUGGCAUGAAACAUGAAAAAAAAACCCAAAUCCAAACCUUUAAUUAACAUUUCAGAGCAUGCAGAUACAUCUAGUAGCCCUUUGUUAAAUCAUUCAAUGAGUGGUGCUCCAACUUCCUUCUUUUUUUUGAUACUUUGUUGGUCCAUUGAUAAGUGUGCACUGAAUGAGUGGAUGGGGAAUUUGCAGCUUACUGGGUAAAAAUGGUCUUGGAUAUUUCUCACCUAUAGAUGUUCAUCCAGGGUUUGUUUUGCAGCAUCAUGCUGCAACUGACCUUCACCGACCAUUAGUUCCAAAGUUCAAAGGCUAUUUCCAAGUCAUCACAAGAGAAAUGCAGUUUCUUCCUUUUCAAGUUGUGUGUUAAUGUUUUUAAUUCCUCUUUUCCGUACAAAACUUUGGUUUUAGAUUUCAUAUGCUCUUAUCUGAAGUCUGUCAAUGGAAUAGGUAUUGUUUUGGAACUCACUGAUGUUUUUUCCUCUGUAUAGCCUUAUUUCUCAUGCUGACUCACAGCUGUGGAAUGUUAGAUUUCUAGACCGUUUGUUCUCACUAUGCAUUGUUCAUGAACACUUUUAAAAAGAAAAAAAAAAAGCUUCAUUCUGAAAAUGUCAGUUAACAAAUAGUAUGUAGAACUUUGAAUAAUGUAUUGUGUUUUUUGUUGUGUUUUUUUUCUCUGUUUAAUCAACCAAACAAUAAGUAUUGUUUUCUGUGUGUGAUAAAUGUAUCCUGCAAAGAAAUUCAUUGUUUGAUUGUGAAUGUGCUUAAAUCUGUUUUUAAAAAUAAGGUAAAAUGACAUAAUUCGUUAUUUAUGGCAGUUAUUAUGUUCUCUCUCCUACAUUCUCAUGCUCCUCUCACACGUAAUCUAUAUUCUCUAUCUGGGUACCAGAAACCUUCCCCCUACUCUUCUUAGUACUUGACCACCUCCUAAAAUUAAUAAUACUGCUAAUUUGCUUUUCCUUACUUACCAGUUUAUCACAGUAAUAAUUAGAUUUAUAAUAGAAGUGCAUCCAGAGGGACAUCUGCACUCUGUUCCUGAGCAAAGCUAAUUUUACUGUAAUGUUCCCAAGGUACACAAUGACCACCUUCUAGGAGCACAACCCUCAGUCUUGGCCUCCUCCUAUGUAAUUCUUCAGUUCUUGCAUUGCUUGCACUGGACUUCCAUUGGCUUGUUUUAUAGUGAAAUAUUUGACAUGGGAUGCCGAGAUGCCAUCGUUGAGGUCUCAGGGCUUCUAAGACCUAUGUAUGGGGCUGGCAGCUGGGGCCCUAUAGGAGAUCAAAGACAUCCUGUACCAGCAGCUGGAUACUAGGAGGGCUACCUGAGGGCAUUUUGUAUCAUGUCAGAUGCUUACAUGUGGGUUAACAUCACUGGCACGGUAUUCGUUGUAUAAGCGUUGCAGUAAAAACCUCAAAGCAAACUUGUUAAUCCUUAACAACAGCUACACAUACCAUUCUGUAUUCAUCAGAAGUUCUUUCAGUUCAAAAUCAACCAUCAGAGUAAUGAAGAAGAG